rnacentral:lncRNA from 1 species
AUGGCUAGAAACAUCCCCUGGAGAUGCAAGGCGCCCAGGGCUCCUGGUAAAGAGCACAGCCAGGGAGGAAGUGCCCUGAGGCUGCUGGGCGAGCCGGAAGUGGGAGCUGUUUCUAGCACAGAGGAUGUGGCUCAAGACAAGCUGAGGAAGGCGCUUGUUCCUGUGGGAAGAUUCUGUUUGCAGCCCCUUCUCCACCUCCCUGAACACAAGGCUCUGGCGUUCCUUUUUUUUUUUUUUCACAUGAUGGAUUUACCCGCCCUGGAGAAGGUCACGGAAACCUGGCUUGGGAUGUUUGCUUGUGCUUGUUUUCAGUUAUUGAUUUAAUACAAUUAAAUAUAUCAAUGAAACCCUAGUCAUUUCUCGACAGUACUUUUUGCAAGGGCUGUGCGCACACACACGUUCAGGAAAGUUAGUAAAGAAAAGAGAAGCUUGAGAACGUUCGGCUGCGCAGGGAGCUGCAAGGCGGGCUGAGCAUCCGUCACCUCGUCCCACUCCCUGCAUCCGGGCUGGGAAUCCAGCAGCAGCAGCCGCCGCCCGCCUUCAGGGGCCCGGCGCCCGGGCGGGGUAGGCAGAGCCCCGCGCCGCGGGCGGGACCGGGGCUUUGGGGGGAGAUAGAACCGCUGGUAGGGAGGG